CCGAUGGAGGGGGAUAACUACUGGAAACGGUAGCUAAUACCGCAUAACGUCGCAAGACCAAAGAGGGGGACCUUCGGGCCUCUUGCCAUCGGAUGUGCCCAGAUGGGAUUAGCUAGUAGGUGGGGUAACGGCUCACCUAGGCGACGAUCCCUAGCUGGUCUGAGAGGAUGACCAGCCACACUGGAACUGAGACACGGCCCAG
rnacentral:rRNA from 1 species